CACAGCAUGCCCUCAAAUGUUCCAUCUAACAUUUUAAACUUCAGUUUUCUAGAGAAUCUGAAGUCGUUUACAAUAAAUUCAAUGAAAUAUAAAUAAAACAAGAAUCUGGACUAGGAAUAUACAAAUUUAUAUAGAAAUUGGGGGAAGUAGCCAGGUGCAGUGGUUCACACUUGUAAUCCUAGCACUUUGAGAGGCCAAGGUGGGAGGAUCACCUGAGCCCAGGAGUUAGAGACCAGC
rnacentral:lncRNA from 10 species